rnacentral:rRNA from 1 species
UACGUAGGAGACGAGCGUUGUCCGGAAUUACUGGGCGUAAAGCGCGUGUAGGCGGAUGAGCAAGUCUGCUGUGAAAGCUCCUGGCUUAACCGGGAGUGGUCGGUGGAAACUGCUCGUCUGGAGGACGGUAGAGGUAGGUAGAAUUCCCGGUGUAGUGGUGAAAUGCGUAGAGAUCGGGAGGAAUACCUGUGGCGAAGGCGGCCUACUGGGCCAGACCUGACGCUGAGACGCGAAGGCGUGGGGAGCGAACGGG